rnacentral:lncRNA from 1 species
CGCCCGGAUACUCGAAAAUACGUGUCCCGUACGUAUCCAGCAUUUUAUUAAAAAAAAUAAAAGAUAAAUCGCGGAUACCUGAAGGACACUGGCCUGGACACGGGAGUGCUCUAAUGAGUAAACCUGGGGCAUUCUAUCCCCAUUCCCCACCCACUCUCCCAUCCCACCAGUCCCACACGCCGCCACCUCUGCUGCUGCGUUGCCUCCGCGGGUUCAUCGCCGCUGCCGGCCGCCGCCACCUCUGCUGCUGCGCCCGUGCGCCAUCCCCUGCCGGCCCGCCCUGCUGCUCCCUCGCCAUCACCGCCGAGCACUCGACCAGAGCAGUCAUAAGUCAGCUUUCUCCUUCCUGGCUUCCCCUUCUGGCCUUCUCUGUUCCUUCCUUCUUCUCCUGGGCUCCUGGCUUCCCCUUCUCUGUUCCUUCCUUCUUCUCUGUCUCCUCUAUUCUCUAAUUCUCUGAAUUUUGCUCCACUUCAAGAUUGAACCUAGGUGAACUGAUUGUGAACUGUUGGCAAUUAGGUGGAGAUGAGGCUAAAAGGUGCACUGCUGCGACUAUCAAGAUUUUCUACCAACAACCAUGUCUCGGUAUUCCUAUAUUCCUACAGUACUUCUCAACUUCUCGUCCUCAUAUAAAAAUCACUAAUUUAUAUAUAUUAUUUAUAUUUCUAAUAUAUAUACACAAACGUAUCCCCGUAUCAGGGUUUUUAAAAAACAGCGGUAUCGCCGUAUCCGUAUCGCCGUAUCCGUGCAACCUAGGCACCUACUAAAUGAAGACCAAGUAUUCAUACCUUGAAUGGCUUGAGCAAGAAAAGGGUGAUCCAAAUCCUGAAUGAAGCAGUUGGUGGAAACACCGGCACAAGAAAAGUAAGUCCAUGAACCACAAUUUGCAAUAACACCCUAUUAUUGGUAACAAGACAAGAACAUAACCGCAUACCAAAUUUAGAAUCGAGGAUUGACCCCAUGGACACUGAUUGUAGUUACAUUUCUCUGGCGGCCACCAGUCAAUCGUAGCACACACGUAAUUCUCAUCGGUUUCAGCAAUUCUGUUUGAUCCUUUAACUAUGACCGUCGCUUCCUCCGGCUGCUGAGCCGAAGCCGACCAAGGAGCAUGUAGACAAGCAAGCGCAAGUAGUAGAAGAAGAAGCCUCACGGCCAUCCUUCCUACCUAGAACAGAAAAGCAAAAUCACUAUCCAAAGCUGUGUUCGCUCUGCGUGCAGACUAGCAGACAACCAUUUGUGUGUGAGCAAAAACAAUGAGGAUUGCUAUGAGAUGGCAAAAAUCAUGCAAGAUUUAACUAGUGAAAUGACGCAGCGACGCUAAAUUCCCCCGAACUGUUCGAAUCCAACAACUUGGGCAGCAUUCGCUAGGGCAAUUGCAGACCGAAUUAGCCAACCGGAUAAGUACCAGCACGAGCCUAGGCUAGAAAUUAGAGGCAAAGAUCCCAAUCCUCACAUCUACGAGAAAAGAUGCCAUUCUGAAGAAGAGUACGGAGAAGGAAGCAGAGACCCCCACCUUUCCCCUCCGUCCACCAACCAACCACUCUAUCCCGUCCCGUCCACCGUCCACGUCGAGAUUCCUCCUCGCCCACGGGUGAGCCGCGGCGGCGCGCGAGCCGUAGGCUGGGAGAUCUGGCCGGCGGAUGAUUCUGCCGAUUCGGAGUUCAGGCCGCCAUUUCUCGAGCUCUAGGUGCCUUUUUCGGGGUGCUACAGCUACUAGGAGUCUGGGACAGCACUGCAACUUUGCCGCUGUUGGCUUCUAGCGGCAACGUGGCAGGCAGCGCCGGGAACAGAGCAGAAGAGUGCAAGACCUGGUCACCGGGAUAGAUUCUGUCGGACUUCUCUGGUAAAAAAAGAGAUUGUUCCUCCUCGGUUAGUCGGAAAUCUCAGGUGAUCUAUUUUUCUCAGGAGUACAAGAAAACUGAUCAUUCGCACUGGAUGCACGAUUUAUGUAUGAGUCCUUUUAUUUUAUUUUGUAUGAGUCCUUCAAAAUGAGUUGGUUUUCGAGUAGCAUUUAAUUCUUCCCCCUUUUUUUUCAGGUAGCGUUUAAUAUUUUUCCCCUAAAAAAGAAAGAAUUAGAUGCUGCCCGAAAAACAAAUGGACAGCAAGAUUUGAGCAUUGCUGAUUAUGAACAUACACAAAUCAAACCUGAUAAUCAGAAGGAACCAAUUUACGUAGUACUACAGAAACCUGGAAUAUACAGUAAUUAAAAACUCGGACACACGAAUGAGAUCAAAUUCGCAUCUUGGACCGGAACAAACAGUAUUUCUACGAGAAACAAGCAACGUCAUUCUGCAGGUUCUACCGAUGAUAGAUACUGAAUUGCAGCAAGCUGUUUUCUGCAGCUACUUGUGCUGUACUGUAUUGAGGAACAGAACGGGGGAACUGGAACAUCCUCAUACAAAGUUCCAGGCAUACUUUUGUAAUUUUACAACUUUUAUCUGGUUGCUAUCAUGGUGAAUCAUCUGCUGCAACUGCAAGCCUCUUUGGAGAAGGUUCACCGCAGGAAGGCUCGUCGUUGGCUCGUCUGAUGCCUCCGCCUACAUCAUCUAGGUCAGUUACACUACUUCCAGCAUUUCCUGUUGUUGAUUUAGGCAUGACUGGGGAGUCAAAGCUGUCGUUUAAUCCGUCCAUCUGUGAAGAAAUCAAUGGUGCAACCAUUAUCAAAGUAUUGUCAACGUUAUGUUCUGCCUGUGAGGCAACUUUCAUCAUAAUCUCAACUGUGGCAGUACUUGGGGUUGUCAUUGCUUGCUCCAGGUCUUCAAGCUGAAUCAAAACAAUUCGGAGAUGUCAAUGUUCCAUAUAUGCAUGGAAAAUUCUCUUCUUCAUUCAUGCGUACAUCACUAGGUUUAUUAGGAAAACAAAGUGAUGCCGUUAAUAAAAUAAGUUUAUUUACCUUAUUGAGUUCAGCCAAUAUGCCAGUACGAAGCUCUAUCUCGUCUUCUUGAAAGGAUUUUGAGCUUCCUUCAGCAUCAGAUGCAGCUUCUCCUGGAGCAGAGACGACACACCCCAUAGUGUUACCUAGGCUCUUCUCAACUAUUGUUCUUGCAAUAUUCAGCAUUUUCCAGGACAGGUUCAAAUCAGAAUCAUUUUCAUCACCUCCCAUCUCAUCAUGAUACUUGUCACCAUCAUCUUUUCUAUCUUCCUGAGCUAUGCCAUUUGAGUUUUGCCCUAAUCAACGACUGUGUCAGUACGUAUCAAACAAGAAAGAAAGUACACUGAUCAUGAACUUCAAUUAUUUUAGUGUUGGACUAUCGCGAAAAUAGAAAAGGGAAAAAGCCACAGAAAGCAAUAAGACACAUAGAAAUGCAUAAAUGAACAAAAUUAAUCUGUACCAUACGACCAUCAUUAGUAUUUGUGCAUCUAAAAGCAAAUUAGUUACUCCCUCUGACCCAUAUUACUUGUCUCAAAUUUGCCCCAAUAUGCAUGUAUCUAUGUUUAAAAAGCGUCUGAUACAUGUAAUAUUUCGACAAGUAAUUCCGACCGGAGGGAGUAUAAUUCUGAUGGAAAUGUAAGGCAAUGGAUAUUCACAUAAUCACAUUAUUGGGCAGCUUUUGUAAUGCAUAAUCGCUAAAAGAGAACCUUCUAUGUUGUAAAGUUAGCCCAUGCAACAACAACAACAAGCCUUUUGUCCCACGCAAGUUAGGGUAGGCUAAAGUUAGCCCAUGCAAGUAUACUACUUAGACAGCCAAUUGCAAAAGAACCGAAUGAAUCCAGUGCAUUGUAGAUCUUAAUCUGUUUAUUGUGGCAUUGACAUUCGGCAAUUUGAGUGUAGAUAUAAGAAAGGCAACAAAAAAUAUAUAAACCUAGAUACAAAAUAGCUGGUAUAUGCCACCCCUGUUCAAAAUAUGGCUGAAAACAUUUUUACUCCUUUCCGCGACAUUAUCUGCUAUUUAUAACAUUAAAAAUGAAAUGCAUGUUAAGAAAACGGCAAAAUAUGGCUGGAUAGACCUUCUUCAGUACCAGCUUGCUCCAAAGAUGGGGCACACUCAACAGUGCUGCCAGAGGCCUUUGGGUUUCCAGCAAAAGCUUUGCUGGUUGCACUCUUCACUGCCUCUUCCUGAGCUUUGUAGAGCAAGGCACAUCCUGGAGUAUGUUCACCGUCACGUGCAGCCCUAGGUGACCGCAAAAAUGUAACUUUGUCAUUGUUAUUUGGUAAAGUUAUAACAAAAGUGCAUGGACAUGAAAGGAAAUGUAAUCUGAGAUAUAACAGAAUAAUCAGAACUAACCGCCCAAUUAUUCUACCGACCAUUUCGACGACAUAUGUAUGGUGCAAAUUAGUAGUAACUAAGUUAAUGUUUAUUGCCUUUCAUAACAACCUACUCACCACUGCACCACAGAUUGGGAAGUACAGUGGUGCCAUAGCAUAUAUUCCAAUUAAUAAACUGCACUGACAUAAAAGAUUUGCAACUAAUAGACAGUAUUGGAGAGGCCUCGAUGAAUUUCGUAAACAGGACAACACCUACCCAUGUACUAAUUGCAUUUGAUUUGAUGCUCUUGGCUGUUCACACACCAUAACAAGAGACGGUAGCAAGUAUUUUUUUUAUCAAGUAACACUAGGCGAAGUGGGCUCAUUAAUUACUCCCUCAAAAACCAAUAAACUCCAUAGAGCUCGCCAGUGCCAAUAAACACAAGAAUCCUAACAUAGUAAAUGUUUUUUUUAGAUGACACACUAAAAGUUUGGUAACACCACCUUAGUACAUUUCAACCUUACCAAACUCAUCUCCCGAACUUCAAAAGGCCGAGGGUCAAAGCAACAAAGGAGAAAUGAAAAUAUAGCUAACCUUAAAAUAACACUGAACUACGUGGAGGCAUUCUAUUUUUCCACAAUUUAUCCACACACUGAACACGAUGCGAUGCUGAGAUGGAAGACCGGCACCAACUUUUCAUCUUAUGCACGUUUGCCCUAAUGCCCUGUCAAGGAUUCAAUUGCAGAUCUAAGCUUCUCGCUUUGAAUUGCUGUGGAAAACAACUUUGCCGCUUGAUCUGCCCGCCACUCAGCGGCCAUCCGUUCUCUGCAUCAUUCUUUGGUGUGUUUGGAAGGCUCGAAAUGCAAAGGGCUUCUCAAACAAGGACAUCCCCAUGACAACAUCUUUAAUAGACAUUAUCGGCGACCUAAUGAUUGCCUAAGAAAAAUAAUUCAUCCACACACACUUGAGCAUGGCUGGGACAUGAGUGGUGUUCAGGAGAAGAGCUCUAACCUGAUCUCGAGGGCGUGGCUGAGGCAGUCAAUGCCGUUGACAAAGUCCGGUUGCUCGAUGGCCAUACGCCCCUUUACAAAGAGCUCAUGCGACCGCUCUAGUGCUUUCUCCACCACCUCCUCCUCCUUUACUGGGUAAGAGUCCGCCUCCUCCUCCUCACUAGAUGUGGGCGACGGUGGGUACUGGUACUCGCAUCGAGGUGCUGGGAGUGUAUGGCCUGAGCUGACAAUUGGAACCAAAAUUUUGAAGGAGAAUUCAUGGUCGCACACCUUCUUCACCCGGCCUGACUUGAGAUCGAUUAUAUAGAUGCCAGCAGAGGUGCUCAUAAAAAUGGUAAUUGCUUCCUCAGCGAAUCCCAUCAUAAUAGGUCCCCAUCCUGAGAGAGCGGCUUUUGGGAGCGAACUGCCAAUGCUCAGGCGGAUCUCCCGGUAACACACCCAUUCUGCAACACCGGCGUCAUUCACCUUACUUGACCAAAGGCAGAGAAGCCACUCGUCGGCCUCGGCAAUUCCCAGUCCACCGUCCUCCGCCACCAUGAGGACCAUUCCGUGAUUGCUUACUGCACGCCAAAGUUGAUCCUUGUCUUGAGGUGGGUAGAUCAAAGCUAAGCUCUGUGUGGACAAGUUGUACUCGAAGAUGUCCCCGUAGUUCGAGAAGGAGUAGAGUGUAGAGCUCCCUACCAGCACACUGGACUCAGCGUAAUAGGAGCAGAUGUUGGGGACGGCGCUCAGCUUACCCCACGCGCCAGUCUCCGAGGAGUAGACGCACGCCCACGUGAUCAGGUCGUCGCCCGGCCUCUCCUGGGGAAAUAGGACGACCACGCGGAAGGGACCUCCGAGGCAGUUGCGAUGGUCGCACCCUUCGGCCGCGCAGACCACGGCCGCAUUGGGGUAGCGGUGCGGCCGGUGAAUCCGGUGAUCCUGCGCCGCAGGUAUCGGCACUACCCACUGCUUGUCCGUGACGGGCUCCCAGACAAGGAACUCCUCCGUGUCGCCCUGGCCCGCGGAGCAGAAGAGGACGCGACCGUGGCGGCAGUCGCUCGGCGACCAGGGGCCGCCGUCGGGGAUUGGGAGGGAGAAGGCGGAAGUGGGGAAGAAGGCGAGGGCGCGCUCGUCGACUCUGUAUUCGCGAUCGUCCUCGUCGAGGAGGAACCCCAGCAGCAAGGGGGCUGCACGGCGGAGCGCCUGGGCGCGGCGGCGGAGGAAGGUGGGGUGGGAGAUGAGGUCACGCCAGAGCUUGCAGACGAGGGAGGCGCGGGCGAAGCACCAGGGGUCGUCGGACGGGAGGCGGAAGAGGAUCUGGUCGACGAGGUCGUCCGGGAGCGCCGCCAUCGACAUGCCUCGACCUCGUGAUCUCGCUAGGGCUGGGACCCUCGCCGUGGCCCGUGGGGUGGCGUGGGGAUUGGGGAGGCGAAAUGGAAGUGCGGCUUUUGGAGGUGGGAUUGGGAUUUGGGAGGGCGCGUUUAAUUUGGUCGUGUCAUUUCUAUUUUCUACUACAAGAGUAUGAUCGUCAUAAUUCUUGAGCUAUUUCAACUCCAGUCAAUCGUUGACGAUUGUGGAUCCUGCCAGAUGGUGGCGGCGCCAGCUCCGACCUCAAGAAAUCCCGCGCUAGGGAAGUAGAAUUCGUCGGACGCGAGCUUGUGGCAGAUUUGAAACGUCAGUGCUGGCGGUGGGCAGGAGGAAGGGGAUGCUACCACCGGCGGAUUAGAGGAGGCGGUGGUUUGUUCGCACCAGCGGGGGAAGCAACGACGAAUUCGACCGGAAUGCUGUCACACCCGGAUUAAUUCUUGGUUGACUAGUUACGUAAUCCCAACUACUCGUUCCGUUUCAUAAUUCUUGUUGAUGUAUCUAGACGUUUUUCAAAAAUAGAUACAUUCAUGUUUAGGCAAAUUUGAGACAAAAAUCAUGGGACGGAGAAAGUAUAUAUUCUCGAGAAAUGUAAGAUUAGUUAAAAGAAAGCCCACGUGAGUGAAGCAUAAACUCGGUUGAGAAAUGUUUGCACGCUCACGGACGGUCAGAAUACAUCUAUACACUACUGUAUAGAUGCAUUCAAAUUUAGUCAAAAUUGAGACAUUCCUUGUUGGACGGAAAAAGUAUAUCAAGUUUAUCUUUUAUUGGACGGAGGAAUACAUGACAAGAAAAAAACCCAGCAGUCACGUGAUCGGCGGCGAACAAAGAACGGUUUCAACACUUGGUUUCCAGCGUCAAAGCCCCUGAUGCAUGGAGAGAUGUGGUUCCUCUGCUCUGACGAUGAUAUAAUAAACCGAUUGAAUGUAACUUACCUGGGUUGUCGAUCAAAGGUGCCUUCCAUUUGCCUCUUGUAGUUGGGAUUCUUAAUUUUGUUUAUAAAAAAAGGCUCACGUUAUAGAGGAGAGCAUGUUCAACCACCAUUAUAUAGAAGCCUCCUCCAUGCAUUAACCCAGUAAAAAAAACCUUGCUAUUAUAUCUUGGAAUUGACUCUGCGUAUCUUGUGAUUCAAGUUCUACUUUCCUGUUCUGUUCCAUCAAUCGCAACCAAGACAUCAAUUUCAUAGCAGAAAGUAGCAGUAAACAUUUCCAGUCUAACCUAUUAAUACCCCCUUAAUUAAUUUAUUCAUGGUAAUUGUUUUUUUAAGGGAAAUUCAUGGUAAUUGUUGACUGCACAAAAAAAAGAGUAAAUUUCACAAAACCACUACUCCAGGGGUUAGGGUUUCACAGAGUUACCACUUCAGGAGCUUGCAUCAGUUUGUCACUGCUCUAAGUAUCGGCUUCCCCAAAUCUUACCGAUUAGUGCAUUUGACACUAACUGACAAGACGGGCCCACAGGCCCACAUGUAAGACAACUUUUGUUCCUUUCAUUUUUCAACUAGCCCCCUCGAUUUAUUUUCCCAUUCUCCUAUCCUCUUCUGCCUCUUCUUCUCCUGCUCUGGCCGCUGACGCCAUCCCCUGCUGGACCGACGCCAUGGCCGCUAGAAGGAACGGAUUUGAUGGCUGCCGGCCGUGUUGCCGCCGCCCUGACGCCGGAGCGCCGCCCCCAUCACCCCCAUGUGCGAAUCCGUCGGCGGAGGAGGGCGGCUCCUCCAACCCAAGAAGCGACGGUCUGCCCCACCAUGUUUGAUCCGGUCCGAGGAGAGGAGGUAGGUGAACUGGGAAUCAAAUCAAAAGGAGAGAUCUUGCGCCCGCAGCAUCAGCUUGACCCCAAUCCCAAGUAAGAACAGAAGGGAUCUGGAAAAAUCAAAGCCUGAUGCUCAAGAGGAGGACACAACGAGCAGACAAGAACCAUGGAUUGAAGCUUGAAACAAAUAAAACCAAUCUUCCUCCUCCUCCAUGAUUGCUGAAAAUUUUAGAAAAAGGGAGACCGGGGGCGAUACGGAACGGACUUAAUCAAACUUGGGCCGCCGCCGGGUCAUCCUACGCCGGCACCAUGUCCGCCGCCGGGGAAAGAUUGGGGAUCGGGACGAAUUGGGGAUCAGGAACUGCUCCUCUGGAGCUGGACUCGCUGCUCACCUUGGCUCUCUCCCUCUCCCUCAUGUCCUCCGGUGUGCUGAGCACGUGCAGCGGCUGCUCCACCCUCCUCUUGAUUAGUUUCCUGUUGCAAAGCAGAGCAUGGAGGUACGACGCAAACCAUGCUGCUAACUUGGAAUAAUUAAGCUACGCGAGCCUGUUAAUCGAACUUGACGGUGUGCACGCAGGAGUCCAUAGCGUCCGGCGGGUCACUCCACAGGUACGGGUGCGUCCUGGAACCACCGCGGACUCCGGCGAGAUGCUCCGACGAGAUGCAGGCAGCCGGAGCAGUUGAAGAAGGGGAGAAAAGAAUUAAUGGAAAUAACAGGGGGCUGAAUGAAUAAAUGGAUGCCACUUAGGACCUUACAAGUGGCCCCAACUAGUCAGUUCUGCUGUCAAAUGCACUAAUCCGCGAUAUUUGGGCAAACUGAUAGUUAUUGCCCAUAGAGUAGUGGCAAACUGAUGCAAGCCCGUGAAGUUGUGGCUCCGCGAAACCUUAGCCCCUAGAGCAGUGGUUUUGUGAAAUUUACUCAAAAAAGGACAAAAAAGGACAAAGGAAAUAUUAGCUGAUAUCCCCACAUAUCGUAAUUAAGGUCAAUUUACAGCGAGUACAAGUCGAAAGGCAUCUUCUACUUGCAUCUACAUGGUGAAGAUACAUUUCCCAACUUAAUUAACAUUACAAUGUUCCACAUAGUCAACGUACUGCCCAAGUGCAUCCAUGGCCAUGGCAUCAAAUGCAAUGUCUACGUACUGCCGAAGUGCAGCCAUGGCCAAUUGACAUUCGUGUACAUACUACUACUGAUCAUGAACAUACACAUAUCAACCCUGGCAAGUUUUAGGAAGUCAAGGAACCAAUGUACUCCCCUAGUAGUUCAGAAACCGGGAAUAUACAGUAAUUAAAGCCUCGGACAUACGAAGAGGUCAUACUUGGCACUUGGACUGAAACAAACAGACAAUGUUUUAAAAAGAAACAAGAAACGUCAUUGUGCAGGUUCUGCGGAUAACAAAUACCGAACUGCAGGCCUGCAGCAAUUUUUAUACGGAGUAGUAUGUAGCUACUUGUACUAUAUCAGCAGACCAAUACUCCAUUGAGGAAUCAGAAAAGGGGUUGGUAAGGUCCAGGCAUAUCUUGUAAUUUCACAAAUUUUAUCUGGCUGCUAUCAUUAUCAUGGUGAAUCAUCUGCUGCUGCAACUGCAAGUCUCUUUGGAGAAGGUUCAGCAGAGGAAGGCUUCGUGUUAGCUCGUCGGAUGCCUCCACCUACAGCGCCUCGGUCAGUUACACUACUUUCAGCAUUUCCUGUUGUUGUUGAUGUACGAAUUACUGGGGAAGCGAAGCUGCUGUUUAAUCCAGCCAUCUGCGAAGAAAUCAAUGGUGCAGCCCUUGACACAGCAUUGUCAACAUUCUGUUCUGCCUCUGGGGCAACCCUCUUCAUAAUCUCAACUGCGGCACAGCUUGGGGUUGACACUGCUUGCUCCACCUCUUCAAGCUGAAUCAAAACAAUUCAGAGAUGUCAUUGUUCCAUAUAAGCAUUGAAAAAUCUUUUCAUUGUUCAUGCGUACGCCACUAGGUUUAUUAGGAAAGCAAAGUUGAUGCCAUUAAUAAAAUCAGUUUAUUUACCUUCCUCUCCAGUUUAGCCAAUAUGCGAGUACGCCACAUCUCAUUAUCUUGAAUUGAUUUUGUACUUCCUUCCGCAGAAGAUGCACCUUUUCCCAGAGCAGAGAUGAUACACUCCAUAGUGUUGCCUGGGCUCUUCUCAACUAUUGUUCUUGCAAUAUUCAACAUUUUCCGGGACAGGUUUAAAUCAGAAUAUUCUUCAUCACCUGCCAUUUCACCAUGUGCCUUGUCACCAUCACUUUUCCUAUCUUCCUGAGCUAUGCCAUUUGAGUUUUGCCCUAAUCAAUGACCGUGGUAUGUAUCAAAGAAGAAAGAAAGUACAUUGAACAUGGAAAUCAACUACUGUAGUGUUGGACUCUUCAUGAAAAGAACUUCCUAUUUAAUAUAUAAAUAAAACAUAGAUACGAAAUGGCAAAAAGCCACUGAAAGCAAUAAGAUGCAUACAAAUGCAUAUUUAAAUGAACCAAUUUAAUCGGUAUCAUACGGUCAUCAUUAGUAUUGGUGCAUCUAAGAGAAAAUUAGUUAGAAUUCUGAUGGAAAUGUAAGGCAAUAAAUAUUCACAUAAUCAAAUUAUUGGACAGUUUCUGUAACGCAUAAUCGCUGAAAGAGGAACUUCUAUAUUGUAAAGUUAGCCCAUGCAAGUAUACUAAUUAGACAGCUAACUGCAAAAGAAUCGAAUGAAGCCAGUGCAUCAUAGAUCCUUAUCUGUUUAUUGUAGCAUUGCCAUUCGGCCAAGUCGAGUGUAGAUUUAAGAAAGGCAACAAUAAAUAUACAAACCAAUAGCAAAUAGCUUACAUAUGCCACUCCCGUUCAAAAUAUGGCUGAAAAGCAUAUUUAUAACAUUAACAUGAUGAAAUGCAUGCAUGCGAAAAAAUGAGCAAAACCACUUGAUUAAAACGGCCCCUUAUCGAAUGAUGAUAAGAAUUCAAGAAAUAAGUCGAAACAAUAAACAAUUUGUAUUUUCAAGGGAGACUUUACUUUGCAAAUGAAGAAGUACGUUACUAAUUAGCAGUUUGUUAUGUAUACUCUUUAGCAGGUAUGAGCAGAGGGAGAACAAAGGUUGUAAGCUGCAGAAUAUUUUAAUUAUUUAGAUCUCAUUUCACAGGUAAAGGAAUAAAGAUAUACCUUCUUCAGUAUCAACUUCCUCCAUAGAUGGAGCACCCUCAACAUUGCCGCCAGAGGCCUUUGAGUUUCCAGC